GCUAUAUACAGGGGGUACCGGUACAGAGUCAAUGUGGAGGCUAUAUACAGGGGGUACCGGUACCGAGUCAAUGUGGAGGCUAUAUACUUAGUCAAUGUGGAGGCUAUAUACAGGGGCUACCGGUACCGAGUCAAUGUGGAGGCUAUAUACAGGGGGUACCGGUACCGAGUCAAUGUGGAGGCUAUAUACAGGGGGUACCGGUACCGAGUCAAUGUGGAGGCUAUAUACAGGGGGUACCGGUACCGAGUCAAUGUGGAGGCUAUAUACUUAGUCAAUGUGGAGGCUAUAUACAGGGGGUACCGGUACAGAGUCAAUGUGGAGGCUAUAUACAGGGGGUACCGGUACAGAGUCAAUGUGCUGUUGUACAGGAUAGUCAAGGUAAUUUGUAAUGUGUCUAUGCAUUGAUAGUAAACAGUGGGUAGGAGCAGUGUAAAAACAAUGUAGAUAGUCAGGGUGGCCAUUUGAAUAGUUG
ensembl:lncRNA